rnacentral:rRNA from 1 species
GCCUGAGAGGGUGACCGGCCACACUGGGACUGAGACACGGCCCAGACUCCUACGGGAGGCAGCAGUGGGGAAUAUUGCACAAUGGGCGCRAGCCUGAUGCAGCAACGCCGCGUGGGGGAUGACGGCCUUCGGGUUGUAAACCUCUUUUAGUAGGGAAGAAGCGCAAGUGACGGUACCUGCAGAAAAAGCACCGGCUAACUACGUGCCAGCAGCCGCGGUAAUACGUAGGGUGCAAGCGUUGUCCGGAUUUAUUGGGCGUAAAGAGCUCGUAGGCGGUUUGUCGCGUCUGCUGUGAAAGCCCGAGGCUCAACCUCGGGUCUGCAGUGGGUACGGGCAGGCUAGAGUGCGGUAGGGGAGAUUGGAAUUCCUGGUGUAGCGGUGGAAUGCGCARAUAUCAGGAGGAACACCGAUGGCGAAGGCAGAUCUCUGGGCCGUUACUGACGCUGAGGAGCGAAAGCAUGGGGAGC